CUUCCACACUCUUUUUCUGUCAAUUGAUGGACUACGAAAGCUCGUCUGCUAAUUUACCAGAUGCCCACCCUUCUCAAUGAGAUUUGGAACCCCAACCCCAAUCUCAAAUGCCCACUCUUCUCUUUGAAAGGAGUACUAGAGAAGAAGAACAAUGAGUCGCAAAUAGGCACCAGAUGCUACUUGUUUGAUGGGAGUUGGAUUUACGAUGAUACAUACCCACUCUACGACACAUCCAGCUGCCCUUUUAUUGACAGAGAGUUCGACUGUCAGAAAAAUGGACGCCCGGAUAGUCAAUAUCUCAAGUAUAGAUGGAAGCCUAAGGGUUGUGCAUUGCCCAGAUUCAAUGGUCAGGACUUCUUGAGGAGAUUAAAGGGGAAGAAGAUAUUAUUCGUAGGGGACUCUCUGAGCUAUAACCAGUGGCAGUCACUAACAUGUAUGCCCCAAAGCCAAAUGGGUCGAUUCUAACGUUGGCAACACCAAAGUUUUCUUUCAGGGCAUCCCCCUUUAUUAUGUUUUUGGGAUUAGGGAAAAUAGAUAAAGCUUUUAUUCCACUGCUGGAAGAAGUCUGUUUGUGGCAUCCUUCGUUGAUUAGCUGCCAAAGGAAAAGAAGUCGCAUGUUUAGUGAAUGGGCAUUCACAGCUUUAUUAGUAAAUUUCUGCUCCUUCUAGGCUUCUAGCUCUAUUUAAGUCCUGGUUACAUGUUUUGCUAAUUGACAUACUAGAACUGGGAAUCACAUAUUCACAACUUUGAAAGUCUCCUUGCUCAGUCUUAUUAGCAUGCUUCAAUUCAUUUGUAAACAUAA